rnacentral:rRNA from 1 species
CCUACGGGAGGCAGCAGUAGGGAAUCUUUCACAAUGGGCGAAAGCCUGAUGGAGCAACGCCGCGUGCAGGAUGAAGGCCUUCGGGUUGUAAACUGCUUUUAUAAGCGAGAAAUAUGAUGGUAACUUAUGAAUAAGGAUCGGCUAACUACGUGCCAGCAGCCGCGGUCAUACGUAGGAUCCGAGCAUUAACCGGAGUGACUGGGUGUAAAGAGUUGCGUAGGUGGAAUAAUAAGUAGCUAGUGAAAUCUGGUGGCUCAACCAUUCAGACUAUUAGCUAAACUGUUAAGCUCGAGACCGUUAGGGGUAACUGGAAUUUCUAGUGUAGGAGUGAAAUCCGUAGAUAUUAGAAGGAACACCAAUAGCGUAGGCAGGUUGCUGGGACGGUUCUGACACUAAGGCACGAAAGUGUAGGGAGCAAACGGGAUUAGAUACCCGGGUAGUC